UGCGUGACGAAGCCCGUAGCAAAGUGGACAAUAAAGGCUGAGCGUUAAGUCAGUCAUCAGAAAGCGCCGGUUAAUCCGGCGUUUUUU
rnacentral:sRNA from 1 species